rnacentral:rRNA from 1 species
UCAUGCCAAUGGCACUGCCCGGUAGCUAAAUGCGGAAGAGAUAAGUGCUGAAAGCAUCUAAGCACGAAACUUGCCCCGAGAUGAGUUCUCCCUGAGACUUUAAGUCUCCUGAAGGAACGUUGAAGACGACGACGUUGAUAGGCCGGGUGUGUAAGCGCAGCGAUGCGUUGAGCUAACCGGUACUAAUGAACCGUGAGGCUUAACCUU